AGAACGAACGCUGGCGGCAUGCCUAACACAUGCAAGUCGAACGUGAUCCAGGCUUCGGCCUGGUGAAAGUGGCAGACGGGUGAGUAACGCGUGGGAACCUGCCCUGUGGUAGGGAAUAACCGUGGGAAACUGCGGCUAAUACCCUAUGAGUCCUUCGGGAGAAAGAUUUAUCGCCAUAGGAGGGGCCCGCGUCGGAUUAGGUAGUUGGUGGGGUAACGGCCUACCAAGCCUUCGAUCCGUAGCUGGUCUGAGAGGAUGAUCAGCCACACUGGGACUGAGAUACGGCCCAGACUCCUACGGGAGGCAGCAGUGGGGAAUAUUGGACAAUGGGGGCAACCCUGAUCCAGCAAUGCCGCGUGGAUGAUGAAGGCCUUCGGGUUGUAAACCUCUUUCAGCAGGGACGAAGCGAAAGUGACGGUACCUGCAGAAGAAGCACCGGCCAACUACGUGCCGAGCAGCCGC
rnacentral:rRNA from 1 species